rnacentral:lncRNA from 1 species
CGGAGGAGGAGGACGACGAAGUGGAGGAGCGGCCGUGGCCGCCGCGGAUGAAGAUGAAGCUGGCUCCCUACGCGAUGUACUGCGUCUUCUCCGGCGCGGGGCCCCGGGGGCAUAUGCUCGGCUGCGCCUACGCCGGGCUCCACUGCGCGCUCCAGUUCGCCAGGUUCCUCUCCCUCUCGCCGGUCGCCGAGGUCGCCGCCCUAUGGGGCCCCGUCCUCCGCGUCCUCCAGUGCCUGUGCUACACCGCCACCGCGCUCAUCAUGUGGGUCUUCAUCCGACACCACAUGAACGUCGACGGGGUCUACGUCGUCGAGUUCGAUCCACCGCCGCAGCUGGCGGCGCCGGCAACGACGACCGUGGUGGAGCAGCUCCCGCCUCCUCCGCCGGAGAUGGACAUGUGCUAGGUUCGGUUUGGCCCCGUGAGGUAUGUGUUUCCUAACCCGAUUGCAGGUGUUGCUUUCCUUGCUCAAGGUACGUGCACUGCCAUCCCCUUGCCCUUUUCUUUGAUUCAGCAUUUGUUACGGCACAAACGUCUUGGAUCGUCAUACAUACAUUGCUUAAUUGUGCAGCUGCUAGUGUUAGCUUUUCAUGUGCACUAGUUUUUCUGUAACAGAGAUCUGAAAUAUUGCGUUUCAAACAGGAAAACCAUGGGUUUUAUCUAGGUUCCAUCUAGAAUCUGUGUUGCAGAUUGCAAUUAGAUUGGUUGGCACACAUUUCUUUGGUUCAAAAUUGUUGCUGCACACGUCUUGGAUUGUCGUAUUGCUUAAUUGUGCACAUGUGCAUCGGUAUUUCUGUAACUGAGAUCUGAAAUAUUGCGUUUCAAUGGAAGAGAUCUGGAUUUUAGGUUCCAUAUAGUUACCAUCAAAGAUGGCAGUUAGAUGGUUUGGCAGAGAUUUCUUUGCUUAUGCGAUUGGAUCUAAUCUGUUUCCAUUUAGUUACUACCUCAGUAAGUACGACGUGAAAGGUGAAACAUGAUCAAUGUGCUGUUUUGGGCUGUAUUCUGUUUUUAAUUCUUACAAGCUUUUGUCAAAAGAUGCUGAAUUACUGCAAUCAAAACCUGUUGGCACAAUGCUGAAAUCAUUUUGAGUUUUCAAAAGAAAUUGUUUUAACAAAAUGUUUAAUAUCCUGGCCACUAAACUAUUAGUUCAUCUAUUGAUAAAGUAACAUCUUGGAUCGAUCCUUUGGUGGCCAUGAGUGUGGUGUGAUGCCAUGGAAAGUUAAAACCAUGUUAUUUUUACUGUUACACAGUUUUCUUUGACAAAUAGCAGUUAUGAUUGUUAUCUUUUUUUGUGAAAUACAUUCUUGUCAUAAUUGAUUGCACGUGCAUGAAAUAGAAGUUAUGAUUAUCAUCUUUUGCUAGCCAUUGCUUUCCUAACCCAUACUUGAAGUUUAUGCUCACUGCAGAUUGUCUCCUUUGUUCCAGGUAUGUGCACUUCCCUUUUCUGCUUGAGUUACGAUUUUGUUCUGUUAUCAACUGCACAGAUACGAAUAUUAGAAUUUUCAUACGCAAUACAUCUUCUGUAAUCGAUUGGACUACAAACAGAUAUAGGGUUGAACUCUACCGGUCGAUGGACUCAGCAUGUCAAUUAUACUAGUUGGGAUAUGUUACUAAAAAUGAAAACUGAACUAUAGUGUAUCGGUCCAAAUAUUUUAUAUCCUGUAGAGUAACUAGAGAUUUUCAAAUCUGAAAUGGCAAUUAGAUGGUUUUGGCGGAACUGCCUCUGCCUCUGGUAGAUUGAAUGAAGUAUCGUUUCAUUCAGUCUAGUUUCCGGGUAGCUGUGGAACACACUUUUGUGAAUUGCAGGUGCAGACUAGUAUAUCUCCCAAAGUUUUGUUAACAGAUGCCGAUUUACUGUUGGGGAUCGGUACUUUGGUUCUGGGUCACUUCGCUUACUGUCUUCGUAGGUUGAAGUUUUUGUUACGAAGACAUGCUUGCGUUGUUUCUUAUUUGUGCAUGAUCUUCUCCAUUGCAGUGCAAUAGAGGUGAUGAUCUGGCUUCGCCAGCUGAAGCGAGUGCAGUACGAAGUCGCGAAGCCAAGCCUGGAACGCAUUGACUGAUGACGUACUGCUCGAUUCAGACGUCAACGGAGUGAAGCUGGUGCGAGUGCUAUACGAAGUCGCGAAGCCAAGCCUGGAACAUAUUGAGUGAUGAUGUACUGCUCAAUUCAGACACCAAUGAAAAGCCGGCGUGAGUGCAACAGAGGUGACGAUCCGGCAUCGCCAGCUGAAGCGAAGACGUGAAGCCAAGCCUGGAACGUUUUGAGUGAUGAUGUACUGCUCGAUUCAGACUCCAACGAAGUCAAGCUGGCACGAGGAUGUCGAGGUCUGUCUUUUAAAAGUUGACAAUGGCUAAGCAAACUGGUGAACGAAUUGGAUGAUGGAAGGACUCUUGUGGGCCGCAAACAAAGAGGGAGUCUCAUGCGAAUAUGUAAUCAUGCGAGGAGCUGUGGAGUAACUGAGUUAUUCAGACAAGGAAUGGAAAUGAGAUGGUUUGGUGGAAUUAUCUUUGCCUCAAGUAGUUGAAUCAAAAUUUGAAUCAAGUCUUGUUCCAUUUAGUCUAGUAUCUAGUUCCAUGUUAACUAUGGAACAUACAUUUGUGAACUGCAUGUGCAGAAUGUAUUCAUUUUCACAAAUUUUGUUUACUGAUGCCGAGUUACUACAAUUUAUGAAAAAUUACAAUUCUGUAAAGAUCCCAUGGCUUGUGCUUCUCAUAUCUCACCUCCUCUCUGUUGCUUUCUCAGGUGCCUUUAUAUAUGCAGGGGUCCAUGACUCUGUAGAUGGCACCAAUGGCAAGUGUUCUCAGCCGAGAGCUGAGAUCCACAUUUUGGCCCUUUCUUAUGAAAAUUUUGUGCUUACAAGUGAGGCCUCACCUUCUUGGCUAGGAUUAGAGACUUUGUAAGGAGUUUGUUGCUGCACUGGACUAUAGCAAGGUUGAAGGAACGACUUAAAAGAAGUUUGAAGCUUAGCCUUUGUAGCUUUCAUUCUUAGUCUCUUUCUUGCCUUUUGUGUUCCUCAAUGUGGAACUUCGAGUCUAAGUACUCGUGUAUCUUCUGACCUUGUGGUCAGUUUUAUUUCUCUGUUGUUGUAGACAUUCACUUGCGAAUGUUCAAGACCGAAUAUUUUCCUUAAUCUAAAAAAGCACCAGUUCCUUUGUGGAUCAUUGCCA